rnacentral:rRNA from 1 species
AGAGUUUGAUCMUGGCUCAGAACGAACGCUGGCGGCGUGCUUAACACAUGCAAGUUGUACGAGAAAGCGAUCUUUCGGGAUUGUGAGUAAAGUGGCGCACGGGUGAGUAACGCGUAGGUAAUUUACCCAUAUGACUGGGAUAACAUCUCGAAAGGGGUGCUAAUACUGGAUAAGACCACGAUUAUACGUAAUAGUGGUAAAAGGUAGCCUCUAUAAAAAAGCUAUUACAUAUGGAUAAGCCUGCGUACCAUUAGCUGGUUGGUGGGGUAAAGGCCUACCAAGGCGACGAUGGUUAGCUGGUCUGAGAGGAUGAUCAGCCACACUGGAACUGGAACACGGACCAGACUCCUACGGGAGGCAGCAGUGAGGAAUAUUGCGCAAUGGGGGAAACCCUGACGCAGCGACGCCGCGUGGGUGAGGAAGGUUUUCGGAUCGUAAAGCCCUGUCAGGAGGGAAGAAGUUAAUUGAUAUGAAUAGUAUUAGUUAUUGACGGUACCUCCAAAGGAAGCACCGGCUAACUCCGUGCCAGCAGCCGCGGUAAUA